rnacentral:lncRNA from 1 species
UGACAGUAAGGAAUUAUACAGACAACCAAAAGGAUGUCCCUUAACUAGGACCCUAAGCAAUAGUGGAGAGGCUACCUUAAAUGUCUGUCCCCUAUAAUGAGAAUGAUGACUACCUUAAAUGCCAUCCUAGAGCCUUCAUCCAGUAGCUGAUGGAAGAAGAAGCAGAGAGCCACAGCCAAGCACUGAGCUAAACUCCUGGAAUCCAGUUUCAGAGAGUGAGGAGUCACAACCAAAAGGGUGAAGACCAAGCUGAGAAAACCCACAGAAACACAUGACCUGAUGCCUGCUGAGGUCAGAAGAGGGCACUGGAUUCCCUGGAACUGGAUUUAGGGAUGGUUGUGAGCCACCACGGGGUAAUGGGAAGCAAACCUGAGUCCUCUGCAGAAGGCAGCCAGUACUUUUAACUGAUGAGUCAUCUCUCCAGUCUCUUGUUUUUCCUCAGCGCCAGCACGCAGAGGCCGUGUUCCAGAAGU